rnacentral:rRNA from 1 species
GGGGAAUAACCAGUCGAAAGAUUGGCUAAUACCGCAUACGCCCUUCGGGGGAAAGCGGGGGUCGCAAGACCUCGCGUCGAUGGAUGAGCCGAAGUCGGAUUAGCUAGUUGGUAGGGUAACGGCCUACCAAGGCGACGAUCCGUAGCUGGUCUGAGAGGACGACCAGCCACACUGGGACUGAGACACGGCCCAGACUCCUACGGGAGGCAGCAGUGGGGAAUAUUGGACAAUGGGGGCAACCCUGAUCCAGCGACGCCGCGUGUGUGAAGAAGGCCUGCGGGUUGUAAAGCACUUUUAGUGGGGAUGAAAAGCACAGGUCUAAUACAUCUGUGUCUUGACCUAACCCAAAGAAAAAGCACCGGCUAACUCUGUGCCAGCAGCCGCGGUAAUACGAAUCGAAUUCCCGCGGCCGCCAUGGCGGCCGGGAGCAUG